CAGGUGGUCGUAAUGGGCAUCCGCAGCAAUCGCGAGCAAAGUGAAAAUGCUCACGAGUUUGAUCACUUUUAUACCGCACCGGGGGUUGGUAUAUGGGUGAGCAAAAUAGGGCCGUUGCCGUCGGGACCGAUAAAAUCACCAAAUUUGCUCACAAGAAAGGGGCGAGAGCAAACAGGCACUGAAAAAAUUUUACCGUUUAAUUCUGAGUUAAACAAACGACGUUCAGCGUGUAGAGUUUGUUUACAUUCCAUUUUGCGCAUCGGGUCGAACUGGUCCACUGAACACCGGCCGUGGUGGAACCGGCAGACUCGUUUACGGGAAGAGCAGAAAUUUUUCCAAUCAAGGUGCAUCUCCCAGGGUUAACAACAACGGAACUCCGAACCAGAAUCAUGGCCUUCAAUAACUUCAAAUCAAUCUUCGAAGUAACAGCAACAUCAACCACAAUCAGUUCAAAAAACAAAGAAAUUUUCAUUCGUGAUUUCAUCCGAAGCUCCAUGGUUCGCCGAUUCGACCCGAAGGAUUGCUAAAAGGAAAAAAGUCUCCGUUCUCGAAUUUCAAUAUUCGCUGGUGGCCGAUUCUGAUAAACAUUGUUCCGGUCGUGUAGCUGUGAUUUUAUUGGUCUGUGUGCUCUACGCAUAGCGAACCAGAAUACAUACAAAAAUAGGAAAAAUGAAAAUCAGCGCUUCUAAAAUAUCAGGUUCGUCUGCAAAAUGCUUUCGGGGAUACAAUUUGAUAUGGUUUGUUGGCAUUGGAAACGUCUUCCGGAAAGUCGAACAACUUAACCCAGUUGAGAGGACUAGGUCAGCUUCAAAUUGGCCUUCUAAUCAGUGAGCAGCUAAUCGAUUGAGACAGUGGCUCAAAAACAUAAUAGGAUGGCGUACUGGAUGAUGACGUAUGUGUUGAACAACAGUGCAAACAUGUUAAAUUUGAAAUAUUUGUAGUGUUGUUUUCUACUAUUGAACUGUAAUAAAUAAUGUAUCAUAAAGUGUUUCGAAUAUUAAUGAAACGUGAAAAAAACUUGAUUUUCAUCAUAUAGGUUUAUAAAUAGUUUAUUUCGAAGGUUUUCAAUCUGUCCAUAUUUGUUUUUUUCUGGAAAACUUCCAAUCUGUACAUUUUCUAGAAAAUCAUUAUGAUCGGAGUUAGAAAGCUUCAGCAAACUGUUCAAAAUGAAUAUUCUUCGUUUUAGGAUUUUCCUGUUUUAAGCAUCUCGUCCAUUACGAUUUUCGUGGCGGUUUCGGUGACGUAUUAGUCGCUUCCUGAUGAGGUGCAUCAAAUCGAGGAUGCAUCAGAUAGGCUUGAACCGGGGCAAUGACGAAAACGGCCCUUCAUCUCGCUCCAGGCCGGACGGGUCCAACUCACAGAAACCGAAGCCUCUGACCAGCGGUGGAAUACUUUCUACUUGAUGAUAGAACUCCACAGCACCUGGAAUAUUUCGCGCAGAUUCUGCUGACUUUGAUUCCGGCUGCUGCUGCCCGGAAGUUUCGGCUGUAUCCGCCACCGGACCCGGUUGCUGGUCGGUCGAAGCUGCUUGGCCCUGCUGAUGCUGAGAUGUCGACUAUGACUUAACUUUUCGAAAAAGCACCAAUCGAAAUUUAAUCGAAAAAACUCACGGCUAAGAAAAUUUACUCGGUCCGUAUAAUAUUAUUUGAUCAAGAUGUUCUGCAAAAAGUUUUCUCAGUGCAAUGCUAAAUUUAAAAUAAAUAUGCUAACGCCUGGUGCGCGAAAGGGUGUGUAUAGUCCUA